AUUGACCGCUGGCGGCAGGCCUAACACAUGCAAGUCGAACGCGUGGCGGACGGGUGAGUAAUGUCUGGGAAACUGCCUGAUGGAGGGGGAUAACUACUGGAAACGGUCGCUAAUACCGUAUACCAUCAGAUGUGCCCAGAUGGGAUUAGCUUGUUGGUGGGGUAACGGCUCACCAAGGCGACUAUCCCUAGCUGGUCUGAGGAGAUGUCCAGCCACCCUGGAACUGGGACACGGUCCAGACUCCUACGGGAGGCAGAAGUGGGGAAUAUGGCACAAUGGGCGCAAGCCUGAUGCAGCCAUGCCGCGUGUAUGAAGAAGGCCUUCGGGUUGUAAAGUACUUUCAGCGGGGAGGCGUUACCCGCAGGAGAAGCACCGGCUAACUCCGUGCCAGCAGCCGCGGUAAUAC
rnacentral:rRNA from 1 species